CGCCCCAUUGUUCUCCCUCCGCUUUCCUGCCCGGAGGAAGCCACACCGUGUCUUUCCAGGGGGCCAGGAAACAGCUGUGGGCCAGAGGAAUGGAGGGGCUGUGGGUGAACACGAGGACAGCCGAGAUUCGACUCUGCCCACAGACCAGCAAAGCCAAGGACAGAGAGGUCUUCAGGGAAUACAUGGCUAUGGUGGUUUGAAGACUCCCAUUAGAGAGUGGAUAUUAAUUGCCCUCCUUUUGAAUAUGGUCUGGACUUAGUGAUUUGAUUGUAACAAAUAGAAUACAGCAGAUGUGAUGCUAUGUGACUUCCAAACCUAGGUCAUAAAAGGAGAUGAAGUUUUCACCUGGCUCUCCCUUGGGACACUCACCCUUGGAACCCAGCUGCCAUAUUGUGAGGAAGCUCAAGCCACAGGGAAGGCCAUGUGUAGGUGUUUGGGCUGAUGGUGCCAGCUGAGGACCUGGUCUACUGCCAGUACAACUUAUAUCAAGCAUGUGAGUUGGCGAGCUUUUGAAAGAACUCCAGCCACAGUCACUGACCACGCUGCCUGAGAGACCUAGAGAGAAAACCUAGCUGAGCCAAAUCAGGCCCCGGAAACAAUGUAAAGCAUGAAAGAAAUGCUCCAGUUUUUAUAUAACUUUUUAUUUUGGCAUGCAACAAUCAGUAUUUCAACUUAAAGGAAUGAGGAAGAUGGGGAUUACAGACAUUUUGGUAAGUGGAAGAAAUUUUUAU
rnacentral:lncRNA from 10 species